ensembl:misc_RNA 7SK 7SK RNA
GGAUGUAAGGGUGAUCUGGCUGUGACAUCUGUCACCCCAUUGAUCACCAGGGUUGAUUCCGCUGAUCUAGCUGGUUAGAUGGGUGUCCCCUUCCUUCGUCACCACUCCAUGGGUGUCCCUCCAGAAGCUGCAUGCUCCCUCGAAGAGGAUGGCCUUUCCCAAAUAGAGAUGGACCCGUCUUCCGUUGAGGAUAUAAGAGUAGCUGCACUCCCCUGCUAGAACCUCCAAACAAGCUCUCAAGGCCCAGACUACUAGAUCAAAUAUUAUAUAUCUUCCCUGGAAGGUGAUUCAGCAGGUGGGACAUA